rnacentral:lncRNA from 1 species
AUUGAAUGCAUGUGGGGUUAGAAUUGAAGGAUUAGAGAUGUCCUGGAAGGCUGGCCUUUCUGUGAUGAUAAAAAUGGGGAGAUAACGCUUGCUUGGUUGCAGGGCAGAUAGUGGAGAAAACACAAUCCGUUCAGGGCAGAACAAUUGGGAGGAGGGCGUCCUGACAAGAACUGGGAGUCUGGGAGACCUGCCAAGAGUUCAGAGAUCAGGGCAGUUACUGAACUCCUCUUAGGACCUACAGGGGGACAGUCUGUCUCUGCGCAUAAGGGCCCUUUCAACAGAUUAGAUGUCUGUCCAUCUGUCUACUGGUAUGUCAUAUUCCAGUAGAAUCAACAUUUAGAAGAACCUCCUUGAGAUCAAAAGAAGUCACAACCACUCCUAGGUCCUGCUGUUGUUCCUGCUGCUGCCCUCAUAUUCUAGUCAGUGUGGACACACAAACAGGCAAGUGGAUACGCAGAAAAACUAGCUGAAGGAAAUAUAAAUGGAGCUGCUACCUUAAUCAUGGUGGUAAAGGAAAUUUAAUGAUCUUACCCUCAAAAUGUAUUUUUUGACAUAUUUUGAAAUGGCUGCCACUUGGCUAGCAAACAAAAGUGGCCCUGCAAAGCUGUCUUUUGUGGGGAAAAUUUGGAUCUGUAGAGAAUUUCCUUCAAUGCAGCCAGGCUGCCUCCCUUUCCUGUGCUUUUCCAGAUCCUGAAGAAACUGGAGAGUCUGACACCUUUAAAGUAUGAAGAGAAACAUUUACCCUCUAUUCUAAGGGAAGCUUCAUCUACAUAACAAGGUCACAUUUGCUAGUCAAGCUUCUUUCUCUCUCUCAUAACCUGUCUUUUCACUAAGCCUGAUUUACCAAUAUAACCAGUUUCUGGCCAUGUUCUGAGUCUGUAUUCUUUACUGUGGCCUCAAGAUGGUAUAUACAUUUCUGUAACUCAUUGGGAAGCUGGUCUUCAUUCUUAAGGCUCCCACGUAUAGAAGUUAAAUAAAUGUUUAUGUCUCUU